rnacentral:misc_RNA from 1 species
AAGUCGUAACAAGGUUUCCGUAGGUGAACCUGCGGAAGGAUCAUUAACACUGUUUUUUCACAAAAUAGUUUAAAAACUCAACAUUCGUGAACAGGAAUUCUUUUGAGAAUUCCUCCCUCUCCCCUAUUUUUUAAAAACCCCAAACCUUUUCUCUUUUUACUUUUUUCCUUUGAUGGAAGAAAUUGAACUGAACAAAAAACCACAACAAAAACAAAAAAAUUCACUUUUUUUUGUUCGAGUUAAUGAAAUGCUGAACAACUCUUAACAACGGAUAUCUUGGUUCUC